CCGGAUGUGAAAGCUGGGAGGCAUCUCUUGGUUUUCAAAGCUGGGGACCGUAAGGCCUGGCGCUUCAUGAUGAGCCCGCGGCCUAUCAGCUAGUUGGUAAGGUAACGGCUUACCAAGGCUAAGACGGGUAGCUGGUCUGAGAGGACGACCAGCCACACUGGAACUGAGACACGGUCCAGACACCUACGGGUGGCAGCAGUCGAGAAUUUUUCACAAUGGGCGCAAGCCUGAUGGAGCGACGCCGCGUGGGGGAUGAAUGGCUUCGGCCCGUAAACCCCUGUCAUUUGCGAUCAAACGUUGUCAUUUAAAAGAUGACAGCCUGAUAGUAGCGAAAGAGGAAGGGACGGCUAACUCUGUGCCAGCAGCCGCGGUAAUACAGAGGUCCCAAGCGUUGUUCGGAUUCACUGGGCGUAAAGGGUGCGUAGGUGGCGGGGUAAGUCGGAUGUGAAAUCUCCCGAGCUCAACUCGGAAAUGGCAUUGGAAACUGCUCUGCUUGAGGG
rnacentral:rRNA from 1 species